UCCUUAACCAACUGAGUGAGGCCAGGGAUCGAACCUGUGGGACAUGGAUACUAGUCAGAUUUGUUUCUGCUGAGCCACAACGGAAACCCUGGUUUUUCAUCUUUUGACUGCAGUUGACACAUGCCUCUAGGUGCUCAGGACUCAGAAGUCAUUCACAAGACCCUGAAAACUAUAGCAAGGUAGGCAGAUAGCCUUGUCCCACUAUGCUUAGGGCAGAAAGGUUGGCUAGUUGGCGGGGGGGGGGGGGGAAAGAAAAAUUGCCUUUCUGGUUUUGAGAGCCAAAGCACAAAAUCAAAGCUUUGUGGAUAUUAUCAAAUGCCCUUCUCUUGUGCUUCUAGCAGAGCCCAGGGUGGGUACUGGCUAAAUUCACAUGGAGAGUAAAAGCUUAGCCGCUGCUGAAGCUUUAGGAGCACUUAGCUUGUACUUCUCGUAAGACAGUGAACUCCAGAGAUUCAGCAUUCCCCACAAAUUGCUAAUUUGGUAGAGGGAUGACUUCAAAUCCAGGCCAGUUGGUGAUAGUAAACACACUGAAAUAGAAGCUGAGCAGCAGGUGCUGGUGUGUCUAAAGUUAAACUAGAAAAUUGAGAUUUAUUUGCACAGUCUUAGCUUGUUUACUGUUUCCUUUUGGAUUUAUGUAUAAAGUUUCAGGUGCUUGUGUUAGCAAUGAACAGAAACUCUUUAUGGUGGAUCUUCUUAGGUAGCAUUUUGAAGUAACCAUGGCUUAGUGAGAAGCCAACAAAUUUUUAGCUGAAUUGGCUUGACACUUGGAAUAACUGGAUUGCAAGGGACUGAUUUAUUUGGCAGAGGGCAGACAUAUUUCUCCCUGGAUUUUCUAGCUGGAUGCCAUACCUCUAGAGUUGUCUGACCAGACCUGUGUGCUCCUGGAAACAUUACAGAGAAACGGGGCCCUCUUAACACUGAGAUUCUACCUGGAAACCACUGUUACCUCUACAACUGCCAAGGAAAGGAAUGCCUUUACUGGACAGCAGGGUAAUUCUUACUUGGAGCUUCACCGAACUCAGGAUGCCAAAUUGAAACUUGGGUUGGCCACGUGAAUGAUUAGGCUUGUAAAGGUAAGUCACAUUUUUAUAAAUAAAACCAGGUAUUAAACUAA